rnacentral:lncRNA from 1 species
GUUAUAAAGUUCUUUCAUCAUAAGUGAUCUACGUCAGACUUCAAAAUAUAGGAACUUUCAUUACCGUUAAUCUAAUUCUUGUUCCUCAAUUCAAGUUGAUAGAGUUUUCUAGGAAGCACAUGGCGGAAUCAUGACCGUGACCAGAUCUAUCAGGAGAUCAAAGGUACACCGAUAGCUGAGGGUGUCCGUCUCCCCCGUCAUGGUGGAAACUCCCCUCUUCCUCAGACAAAUGCUCCGCUUGAGCAAGGCCAUGAAAACGUGCAACGAUCGAGCCAUCCUCGUGAUAUCCAUCGAAGGGAGGGAGGCAGACGUCGCCCGGCUGUCGGCGGCGCCAGGCUGGGCCGACGAGUCAGACUUGGAGGCUCAAAUGGCGGAAAUGUCUUUCGAGGACGUCGAGGCGAACCGACGGGAGGAAGUUGCCGGGGCAGUUGAGCAGCGACCAGAGGAGAUGGGACUCGAGGCAGUAAGCGACUCGAGGCAGUUGAGCAGGGACCAGAGGAGAAGCGACUCGAGGCAGUCGAGCAGGGACCAGAGGAGAAGCGACUCGAGGCAGUCGGGCAGGGACCAGAGGAGAAGCGACUCGAGGCAGUUGAGCAGGGACCAGAGGAGAAGCGACUCGAGGCAGUCGAGCAGGGACCAGAGGAGAAGCGACUCGAGGCAGUCGGGCAGGGACCAGAGGAGAAGCGACUCGAGGCAGUUGAGCAGCAGAACGUCUCGGUGCAGCCAGUAAGUAGAGUUUUUGUAUAUUACUUGUAUCAUUCCGUAGGUGAGAGGUUAACGCUUUACUAAUGUCUGUAAUUCUGUAUCUGUUUUCUUUCCUUGCAACUCUUAAUUCUAACUCAGCGAGAAGGUGGGGGAGGGGGGAUACACCUUAAAUAAUAUCCUGCGCGAAAUUCGAAACAUACUUGUAUCCACAUACAUAUUAGUGUUCCUUUGGGAGGACGGGUUGAAGGUUAUAGAGGGUAUUGAAUGUCUUCUCCCGUUGUAGAGCCGUUAUCCUAGUAGUUAUUCCAUAAAGAAUGAUAGGCCCUGCUAAAAAUGUUCCAUGUAGAUUCACGUGGAAAUGACCCGAUUUCCAUGUGAUUUCAUGGAAAUCGUCUGACUUCCAUGUCCUUCGACAUGGAAAUCAUAACGUUUCCAUGAAACUCACAUGGAAACCAAGUCAUUUCCAUCAAGUCUUCAUGGAAAUGAAAACAUUUCCUUGUGAGCUCGACAUGGAACUCAUAACACUUCCAUGCAACUCACACGGAAACCAAGUCAUUUCCAUCAAGCUUCAUGGAAAUGAAAACAUUUCCUUGUGAGCUCGACAUGGAACUCGUAACACUUCCAUGCAACUCACACGGAAACCAAGUCAUUUCCAUCAAGUCUUCAUGGAAUUGAAAAUGUCCUUCUCAGUUCGGCAUGGAAAUAAAACUUGCAGAUUUCAACAUGAAUUUCGCGGCAUUAAAAUCUUUCAAUUUUUGGGCAAUUCUAAACUGGACAUACACAACAUGCGAAAAUUACACAUUAGAGCGUGAGUGUUGCGUUUGAAGCAUAACUACGAUGUUGAAGGCGCUCCGCUAGGCGCGCGCCAACUCGCUCAGCUAUCGUUCUAAGUAGAGAUGCAAGAUUUCAUGAAACGCAUUAACAGAUGAAAUUUCGAUCAUUUUUGAAAACUACUGCCCAAUGGUCUCAUAUAUGUAUGACAUGAAACGAAAAAAUCUUAAUUUUGGAAAAAAAAUAAAGGGGGACGGGGGGACGAAAGAUGAGCCCCACACAUCAGACAAUUUGAGUCUUGGGUCAUAAGUUGAAUUUUUUUUGCGAAUGAAUAAUGUACUAUAUUUUGAAUUGAUUACUUAAAUUUUAAAAAUGGGUUAUAUACUUAUGUUGCCAUCCUCAGCAACAUUAAAUCUUGAUGGCUGAAGUAAAAAAAUAAUGGGCAUAUCAGGCGGUGCAACGUUUCAAAAAUCGCUAAUUAAAUUUUUUUAUGUUUAAAUCCAGGAAACAGAAAAAUCUGU